rnacentral:rRNA from 1 species
UUUUAUGGAGAGUUUGAUCCUGGCUCAGGAUGAACGCUGGCGGCGUGCCUAAUACAUGCAAGUCGAGCGAACAGACGAGGAGCUUGCUCCUCUAACGUUAGCGGCGGACGGGUGAGUAACACGUGGAUAACCUACCUAUAAGACUGGGAUAACUUCGGGAAACCGGAGCUAAUACCGGAUAAUAUAUUGAACCGCAUGGUUCAAUAGUGAAAGACGGUUUU